rnacentral:rRNA from 1 species
UACAGAGGGGGCAAGCGUUAUUCGGAAUUAUUGGGCGUAAAGGGCGCGUAGGCGGCUUGGCAAGUGGAAGGUGAAAUCCCUCGGCUCAACUGAGGAACUGCCCUCCAAACUGCUUUGCUUGAGGCCGGGAGAGGUAAGUGGAAUUCCCAGUGUAGCGGUGAAAUGCGUAGAUAUUGGGAGGAACACCAGUGGCGAAGGCGGCUUACUGGACCGGUUCUGACGCUGAGGCGCGAAAGCGUGGGGAGCAAACGGG